AAGUCGUAACAAGGUUUCCGUAGGUGAACCUGCGGAAGGAUCAUUAUUGAAUAAAUCUGACGUGGUUGCAGCUGACUCUCCGGAGUACGUGCUCGCCUAGUCACCUUUAUCUUUCCACCUGUGCACACACUGUAGUCCUGGAUACCUCUCGUCGAAAGGCGGAUGCAGGGUUUGCUGUGACUUCGCAAGAAGGCCGGCUCACUCUGAGUCUCCAGGUCUAUGAUCUCACACACCCCCAAACUGAAUGUUACAGAAUGCUAUCAUCGGGCUUCGUGCCUAUAAAUUUAUACAA
rnacentral:misc_RNA from 1 species